rnacentral:rRNA from 1 species
UACGGGGGGUGCGAGCGUUGUCCGGAAUCACUGGGCGUAAAGGGCGCGUAGGUGGCGUCGUAAGUCUGUGGUGAAAGCCCGGAGCUCAACUCCGGGUCUGCCGCGGAUACUGCGAGGCUUGAGUGCUGUAGAGGGGGGUAGAAUGCCGGGUGUAGCGGUGGAAUGCGUAGAGAUCGGAAAGAACACCAACGGCGAAAGCACUCUGCUGGGCCGACACUGACACUGAGAGACGAAAGCUAGGGGAGCGAAUGGG